UUUUUAUUAUGAUUAAGAAUUGAUUUUAUAGGGAUAAAUUAUCAACUAAGUACAACAUUUUGGAACAUGAAAAGCUCAUAUGAUAAAAAUGAAUACUCAUGUGAUACACUGAAUGAAACAUGCUCUUCACUCUCUUCUGAAUGCAAUGAGCUAUAAUACUCAAAAGUAAGCGUUUUUUUUUUUUUGAUAACCGUGGUGUCUGAAUCAGCUUGCGUGCACCUCGGCUAAAUCUACGAGAUACCUGCCACCUCCCACCAGCAACAGGUACCAGGUAACUCUGUCCACCAAGGCUAGAACAGAUGGGAAGAAAACACCUAGUGUUUGUUUCUGCUGGAAAUUGAAUCUGAGACCUCAUGACGCUCAUCCCAACUUUAUUGAACCACUAGGCCACACCCUUGGGUGCAUUCAAAAGAAGGGUUCGACUCUCUCCUUAGACACUUAUGGUAAAGUUUGAUGAGAAAAAAAGUUUAUGAUGCUCAAUUCUUCCAUUCUUGGCGCUACUUUAUUUUUUGAGGUUGUUGUUUUGCAUCUUCUUUUUAUUGUUGUUUUUUCUUUUGGCACCUUUAAC
rnacentral:lncRNA from 1 species